CACAACUCUUCUAUUUCAUGGGUAAAGUAUUGCAUGAACGCGCAACCUGCAUGAACGCACAAUUGACAAUCAGUGUCAUACUUCUGAUUGUAUUGAAAAUGAACAUUGUAAUAGUAAAGUAUUGCUCGCCUCCUGCCAUGAGGAAACAUGGUUCUACAAACGACUUUUAAUUCUUGCUCUUGUGGCAUCAUCAAACUCUUUCUUAACAAUGCAGCCCAAUGUAGAAAACUCAUUGAAUAAAUCCACAAAGAAAGAUAUACCAGACAUUCCCUUUCUGAAAAAGACAACAAAGAUUCAUCUAUGGAACUAAGGUUAGAACAUCAGUUUCCAUAGCUGAAAUACCAAGUUAGUUUCAGAGAAACAACACAGUUUAAUAUUAAUAAUAUAUCAUGUAAUUACUCAUCCGUGUUUUCCGUAACAAAUACAAUAUCCUGCUAGAACAACUACCCUGGAAAUUGCGGUUGAAUCGGAAAGCCUUGUACGUGCUCAAUAUCACCAUGCAUUCAGAACAUGACACCAACCAAAUUGUCUGACCAUGGAGAGUUCAAGCAGUAAUGAAUUAUCAUUGGGUGAAAAAAGUUCUAAAAAAUGUGCGUAAACUGAAGAAGCAUAUAUCAUCUUGGGGAGCCUCUUCCUAU
rnacentral:lncRNA from 1 species